ensembl:snRNA U6 U6 spliceosomal RNA
GUGCUAGCUUCAGCAGCACACAUACUAAAAUUGGAAUAAUACGGAGAUUAGUGUGGCCCCUUUGCAAGGAUGGCAUACAAAUUCAUGAAGCAUUCCAUAUACUU